rnacentral:rRNA from 1 species
GCUUAACACAUGCAAGUCGAACGGGACCUGUCAUGUAGCUUGCUACGAGGCGGGUCUAGUGGCGAACGGGUGAGUAACGCGUGGGCAACCUGCCCCGGAGACCGGGAUAACCCGGGGAAACCCGGGCUAAUACCGGAUAUCCUGCCUUUCCCGCAUGGCAUCGGCAGGAAACGUUGAGUAAUCUUCGCUCCGGAUGGGCUCGCGUCCCAUUAGCUCGACGGUAGGGUAACGGCCUACCGUGGCAACGAUGGGUAGCCGGCCUGAGAGGGCGACCGGCCACACUGGGACUGAGAUAAGGCCCAGACUCCUACGGGAGGCAGCAGUGGGGAAUAUUGCGCAAUGGGCGAAAGCCUGACGCAGCGACGCCGCGUGGGCGAAGAAGGCCUUCGGGUUGUAAAGCCCUGUCAGGAGGGACGAAGGGAAACUGACGGUACCUCCAGAGGAAGCCCCGGCCAACUACGUGCCAGCCGCCGCCGUAA